ACUAUGAAGAGUUUGAUCCUGGCUCAGGAUGAACGCUAGCGACAGGCUUAACACAUGCAAGUCGAGGGGCAGCAUGAGGUAGCAAUACCUUGAUGGCGACCGGCGCACGGGUGAGUAACGCGUAUGCAACCUGCCCGAUACCGGGGUAU
rnacentral:rRNA from 1 species